rnacentral:rRNA from 1 species
UACGGAGGGUGCAAGCGUUAUCCGGAUUCACUGGGUUUAAAGGGAGCGUAGGUGGGUUGGUAAGUCAGUGGUGAAAUCUCUGGGCUUAACUCGGAAACUGCCGUUGAUACUAUCAAUCUUGAAUAUUGUGGAGGUAAGCGGAAUAUGUCAUGUAGCGGUGAAAUGCUUAGAUAUGACAUAGAACACCGAUAGCGAAGGCAGCUUGCUACACAAUUAUUGACACUGAGGCUCGAAAGCGUGGGGAUCAAACAGG